rnacentral:rRNA from 1 species
GACGAACGCUGGCGGCGUGCCUAAUACAUGCAAGUAGAACGCACAGUUUAUACCGUAGCUUGCUACACCAUAGACUGUGAGUUGCGAACGGGUGAGUAACGCGUAGGUAACCUGCCUGGUAGCGGGGGAUAACUAUUGGAAACGAUAGCUAAUACCGCAUAAUAUUGAUUAUUGCAUGAUAAUUGAUUGAAAGAUGCUAUUGCAUCACUACCAGAUGGACCUGCGUUGUAUUAGCUAGUAGGUGAGGUAACGGCUCACCUAGGCGACGAUACAUAGCCGACCUGAGAGGGUGAUCGGCCACACUGGGACUGAGACACGGCCCAGACUCCUACGGGAGGCAGCAGUAGGGAAUCUUCGGCAAUGGACGAAAGUCUGACCGAGCAACGCCGCGGGAGGGAAGAAGGUUUUCGGAUCGUAAAGCUCUGUUGUAAGAGAAGAACGGGUGUGAGAGUGGAAAGUUCACACUGUGACGGUAUCUUACCAGAAAGGGACGGCUAACUACGUG